UACGGAGGGGGCUAGCGUUGUUCGGAAUUACUGGGCGUAAAGGGCGCGUAGGCGGCGCGAUAAGUUGGGCGUGAAAGCCCCGGGCUUAACCUGGGAAUGGCAUGGGAAACUGGCGAGCUUGAGUGCGGCAGAGGGGGGUGGAAUUCCGCGUGUAGCAGUGAAAUGCGUAGAGAUGCGGAGGAACACCGAUGGCGAAGGCAGCCCCCUGGGUCGACACUGACGCUCAGGCACGAAAGCGUGGGGAGCAAACAGG
rnacentral:rRNA from 1 species